rnacentral:lncRNA from 1 species
CUAAUCUCCCAUAGGUGCUCUUUAUUCCCACGGAUCUUCGAAAAAAGAGAAAGAAAUGAAAAGAAAAAAAGAAGUGAAAAGUAAAAAAAAUGACAAUCUAUAUGGGAAAAGGUCUUACCACUCAAUUUUUUCUGAUGUUCCUUUAUUUUCCUUAAUUUUUCCUUCAUUUUCUCUCAAUUUUCUUUUGUUUUAUUUCCAUCCUCAGAAACCCAAUCAGAUGGGAGGCUUGGAUGGCCAAAUAGGAAAGCU